rnacentral:lncRNA from 1 species
AUCAGGAGGACUGUGAAGGAGGACUUGGGGUUGUCUUCUUACACAAGGACCCUGCUCCACCUAUUGAAGGACACUCUGAAGGAAAGGAGACUGCAGAGGUGUAAGAAAGUUCGUGUGUGGAUAAAGGCAAAUGGAUCCAUAGUAAAAAACUUCUCUGACGAGAAGAUUUUCACUGUCGACCAGGUCUACAACACUCAGAACGAUUGUUGGCAUGGGAGAUCACCAGAAGAGGUCAAGGGAGUGUUCCGUACAAAACAUCCGUCCCAAACAAUGGUCAGGCACCCGACGGCAAGAAGAUGCAUCCCUUCUAUUUAGGGUUUUUUUGAGGUUCACCAGACUUCUCAAGGCCACCUACUUAGAGGACAACUAGGUGUGGACGCAAGAUGGUGGCCAAUGUGAAGGAGUGGAACAACUUGUCCGAGAAGUUCAUCAUCAACUCCAGCAAGGAUUUCCGCGCCGUGUUUGUAUUAAUACAUAAUAUAGUAUUUCAUUUUUUCAUGAGACAAUUGAUGGAUUAUUACUGUUUGCCACAGCACAAAUACGACUAAUACCUCUAGCAGAAGACAUAAUUCUUGGAAUAAUAUGACUUAUGACUCAUAAGUAGAGUUGAUGGAAUCAAUCAUCAACAACUUAAAAGUCUUCAAGAAACACAAGAUUCAAGGAGACAAAGGAUAAUUAAACGGUUCAUCAUUCAAUUUGGACGUAGCAAAGUUAUUUGUGUCUUGUAACAUCCCUUUAAAUGUUCUGGAUCAUCCCAAUUUCUCCAAGUUUAUUGAAAAAUAUACAGGAAAAACUUCUCCAGGUCGAUGGGUCGUUAACAACUUGGUUGUGGAAGUAUGGCAAGGAGUUUUGAAUAGAAUAAAAGAAGAUGUGGAAGAAAAGGAUAUUUCCGUUGCACUCGAUGAGACAAGAGAUCAUCAAGGGAGGUCAAUGACGGUAAUUCUGAUUGGCCCUUUGGACGGACAUUUCUGUGGGAGACCUUACCUUAUUGACUUGGUUGAUAUUCAGAUUGCAAACGCAAACAAUAUUUCGUGCCAAAGUUAUCUAUUCAUCCUUUAUGGUCAAUGGUGACUAAUAAGUUAUGAGUACACUUCCUGUAAUGAUGGCUUUAAUUUUCUCUAACUAACAAUAUAUUUUGUCUCGCAUAAAUUUACAGAAUAUAAUAUACAUGUAUAAAGUUA